rnacentral:rRNA from 1 species
CUACGGGGGGCUCCAGUGAGGAAUAUUGGACAAUGGGCGAAAGCCUGAUCCAGCCAUGCCGCGUGAGUGAUGAAGGCCUUAGGGUUGUAAAGCUCUUUCGAUGGUGAAGAUAAUGACGGUAACCAUAGAAGAAGCCCCGGCUAACUUCGUGCCAGCAGCCGCGGUAAUACGAAGGGGGCUAGCGUUGUUCGGAAUCACUGGGCGUAAAGCGCGCGUAGGCGGAACUGUAAGUCAGGGGUGAAAGCCCGGGGCCUAACCCCGGAACUGCCUUUGAAACUACCGUUCUGGAGACUCGGAGGGGAUAGCGGAAUUCCAAAUGUAGGGGUGAAAUCCGUAGAUAUUUGGAGGAACACCGGUGGCGAAGGCGGCUAUCUGGACGAGUACUGACGCUGAGGCGCGAAAGCGUGGGGAGCAAACAGGAUUAGAUACCCCAGUAGUC